rnacentral:rRNA from 1 species
GCUCAGAUUGAACGCUGGCGGCAUGCUUUACACAUGCAAGUCGAACGGCAGCACGAAAGAGCUUGCUCUUUUGGUGGCGAGUGGCGAACGGGUGAGUAAUACAUUGGAACGUACCGAGUAAUGGGGGAUAACUGUCCGAAAGGAUGGCUAAUACCGCAUACGCUCUGAGGAGGAAAGCGGGGGACCUUCGGGCCUCGCGUUAUUCGAGCGGCCAAUGUCUGAUUAGCUAGUUGGUGGGGUAAAGGCCUACCAAGGCGACGAUCAGUAGUGGGUCUGAGAGGAUGAUCCGCCACACUGGGACUGAGACACGGCCCAGACUCCUACGGGAGGCAGCAGUGGGGAAUUUUGGACAAUGGGCGAAAGCCUGAUCCAGCCAUGCCGCGUGUCUGAAGAAGGCCUUCGGGUUGUAAAGGACUUUUGUCAGGGAAGAAAGGGUUUGGGUUAAUAC